rnacentral:rRNA from 1 species
GAGUUUGAUCGUGGCUCAGAGUGAACGCUGGCGGCAGGCCUAACACAUGCAAGUCGAACGGCAGCACAGCAGUAGCAAUACUGUGGGUGGCGAGUGGCGGACGGGUGAGGAAUGCAUCGGAAUCCGCCUAUUUGUGGGGGAUAACGUAGGGAAACUUACGCUAAUACCGCAUACGACCUACGGGUGAAAGUGGGGGACCGCAAGGCCUCACGCAGAUAGAUGAGCCGAUGCCGGAUUAGCUAGUUGGCGGGGUAAAGGCCCACCAAGGCGACGAUCCGUAGCUGGUCUGAGAGGAUGAUCAGCCACACUGGAACUGAGACACGGUCCAGACUCCUACGGGAGGCAGCAGUGGGGAAUAUUGGACAAUGGGCGCAAGCCUGAUCCAGCCAUGCCGCGUGAGUGAAGAAGGCCUUC